UACGUAGGUGGCAAGCGUUGUCCGGAUUUACUGGGCGUAAAGAGCGCGCAGGCGGUCGUUCAAGUCGCGUGUGAAAGCCCCCGGCUCAACUGGGGAGGGUCACGCGAUACUGAUCGACUGGAAGGCAGGAGAGGGUAGUGGAAUUCCCGGUGUAGUGGUGAAAUGCGUAGAUAUCGGGAGGAACACCAGUGGCGAAGGCGACUACCUGGCCUGUUUCUUGACGCUGAGGCGCGAAAGCUAGGGGAGCAAACGGG
rnacentral:rRNA from 1 species